GCAUAGAUAUGGUCAUGGUGGUUGUAAUCAGAUAUUUUGGAGGCAUAAAACUUGGAACCGGCGGGCUGGUGAGAGCUUAUGGUGGGGUUGCUUCUGAGUGCCUUAAAGAUGCUCCUACUUGUCUUGUGAAACCCAAGGCUCGUGUGGGAAUGGAAGUACAAUUUGAUCUCUUGGGUACAGUCUAUAA